rnacentral:rRNA from 1 species
GAUGAACGCUGGCGGCGUGCUUAACACAUGCAAGUCGAACGAAGCUGCUAAAAGGAAGUCUUCGGAUGGAAUUUUAGUAGACUUAGUGGCGGACGGGUGAGUAACGCGUGGAUAACCUGCCUUAUACAGGGGGAUAACGGAGAGAAAUUUCCGCUAAGACCGCAUAAGACCACAGCACCGCAUGGUGCAGGGGUAAAAUAUUUAUAGGUAUAAGAUGGAUCCGCGUCCGAUUAGCUAGUUGGUGAGGUAGAGGCUCACCAAGGCGACGAUCGGUAGCCGGCCUGAGAGGGUGAACGGCCACAUUGGGACUGAGACACGGCCCAAACUCCUACGGGAGGCAGCAGUGGGGAAUAUUGGACAAUGGGGGAAACCCUGAUCCAGCGACGCCGCGUGAGUGAAGAAGUAUUUCGGUAUGUAAAGCUCUAUCAGCAGGGAAGAAAAUGACGGUACCUGACUAAGAAGCCCCGGCUAACUACGUGCCAGCAGCCGCGGUAAUACGUAGGGGGCAAGCGUUAUCCGGAUUUACUGGGUGUAAAGGGAGCGCAGACGGCGAAGCAAGUCUGAAGUGAAAUGCAUGGGCUCAACCCAUGAAUUGCUUUGGAAACUGUUUGGCUUGAGUGUCGGAGGGGUAAGCGGAAUUCCUAGUGUAGCGGUGAAAUGCGUAGAUAUUAGGAGGAACACCAGUGGCGAAGGCGGCUCUCUGGUCUGCAACUGACGCUGAGGCUCGAAAGCAUGGGUAGCGAACAGG